rnacentral:rRNA from 1 species
CCCGCUGAACUUAAGCAUAUCAAUAAGCGGAGGAAAAGAAACUAACAAGGAUUCCCCUAGUAACGGCGAGUGAAGCGGGAAUAGCUCAAAUUUAAAAUCUGGUGUAAAAGCCCGAAUUGUAAACUAAAGAGGCGCUAUCGGACACAAGUUUGUUGUACAAGUUCCCUGGAAUGGGACAUCACAGAGGGUGAGAAUCCCGUCUGGACAAUGGACAAGUGGCCAUAUGAGGCGUUCUCAAAGAGUCGAGUUGUUUGGGAUUGCAGCUCUAAAUGGGAGGUAAAUUUCUUCUAAGGCUAAAUAAUGGCAAGAGACCGAUAGCAAACAAGUACCGUGAGGGAAAGAUGAAAAGCACCUUGAAAAGGGAGUUAAAAGCGCGUGAAAUUGUUAAAAGGGAAACGAUUGAAGCCAGUAGGACCAUGGAGAGUUCAGCGGUACCUAUCGAGUAUUGCUGCGAUGAGAGUGCUUAAUUGUACCUCUAGCAGUGUGCGCAAGUAGACUAUCGUGCAUUCUUUCCAUGGUUAGUCAGUGACAAUUCGAGUUGCCGGAAAAGGACUUGGGGAAGGUGGCCAUUGCUUCGGCAUUGGCUUUAUAGACCCUCGUAGAUACGGCAGUUUGGAUUGGAAUCGGCAACAGCUAAUCGGUGCGUCAUAUCUGCAGUUGUGGACACUUGAGAAUCAGUAGAGUCUCAGGUGGCAUCUAUCUGGGAGACGAUGUUCAGAAUGCUGCGGUGAGUACUGACGAAAUGGCUUUAAACGACCCGUCUUGAAACACGG